rnacentral:rRNA from 1 species
UACGUAGGGUGCAAGCGUUAUCCGGAAUUAUUGGGCGUAAAGAGCUCGUAGGCGGUUUGUCGCGUCUGCUGUGAAAACUGGGGGCUCAACCCCCAGCCUGCAGUGGGUACGGGCAGACUAGAGUGCGGUAGGGGAGAUUGGAAUUCCUGGUGUAGCGGUGGAAUGCGCAGAUAUCAGGAGGAACACCGAUGGCGAAGGCAGAUCUCUGGGCCGUAACUGACGCUGAGGCACGAAAGCUAGGGGAGCAAACAGG